rnacentral:rRNA from 1 species
UUCCUUCGGGAAGCGAGCGUACACAGGUGCUGCAUGGCUGUCGUCGGCUCGUGUCGUGAGAUGUUGGGUUAAGUCCCGCACGAGCGCAACCCCUGCAUUCAGUUGCCAUCGGGUAAUGCCGGGCACUCUGGAAGGACUGCCAUCGACAAGAUGGAGGAAGGUGGGGAUGACGUCAAGUCAUCAUGGCCCUUAUGUCCAGGGCGACACACGUGCUACAAUGGCCGGCACAACGGGAAGCGAGUUCGCGAGGACGAGCGGAUCCCUCAAAGCCGGUCGCAGUUCGGAUUGAAGUCUGCAACUCGACUUCAUGAAGCUGGAAUCGCUAGUAAUCGUGGAUCAGCCAAGCCGCGGUGAAUACGUUCCCGGGCCUU